CCUACGGGAUGCUGCAGUGGGGGAUAUUGCACAAUGGGGGAAACCCUGAUGCAGCGACGCCGCGUGGGUGAAGAAGCGCCUCGGCGCGUAAAGCCCUGUCAGCAGGGAAGAAAAUGACGGUACCUGAAGAAGAAGCCCCGGCUAACUACGUGCCAGCAGCCGCGGUAAUACGUAGGGGGCAAGCGUUAUCCGGAUUUACUGGGUGUAAAGGGGGCGCAGACGGCGAUGCAAGCCAGGAGUGAAAGCCCGGGGCCCAACCCCGGGACUGCCCUUGGAACUGGGUGGCUAGAGUGCAGGAGGGGCAGGCGGAAUUCCUGGUGUAGCGGUGAAAUGCGUAGAUAUCAGGAGGAACACCGGUGGCGGAGGCGGCCUGCUGGACUGCAACUGACGUUGGGGCCCGAAAGCGUGGGGAGCAAACAGGAUUAGAUACCCCUGUAGUC
rnacentral:rRNA from 1 species